AAGAAAUUAGUUAAUAAUUUAUAACAUUCGCUUGUCAUGCGAAAAUAAUCUAAGGGAUAUUUCUUA
rnacentral:tRNA from 1 species